rnacentral:rRNA from 2 species
CGCCGGCGGCGAGAAACUCCCGGGCAAGGUGACCCUCGCUUCGGCGUCGGAGCAUACAGGCUCGGUGAGCGCAGGCCCGUCGGCGGACCGAGGAAGACCGUCGCGGUGCGGCGUCGACCGCCCGUCCUCGGCGCGCGUUCGACUGGGGGGGACUGGUUCCAGUGCCCUCCGACCGCGUGCGUCUAGCGGCGGGACGGCCCGGCGUCGCGCCUGGGGUCGGUGGCGAAACGGCCGGCAACCUGUCCGACCCGUCUUGAAACACGGACCAAGGAGUCUAACAUGUGCGCGAGUCGUUGGGCGCUACGAAACCCGAAGGCGAAAUGAAAGUGAAGGCCCGGUCUCCGGCCGGCCUAGGUGGGAUCCGGACGGUCGAGGCCGUCCGGCGCACCACCGGCCCGUCUCGUUCGCCGCGUCGAAGAGGCGGAGCAAGAGCGUACACGUUGGGACCCGAAAGAUGGUGAACUAUGCCUGAGUAGGACGAAGCCAGAGGAAACUCUGGUGGAGGUCCGC